UUUAUGGAGAGUUUGAUCCUGGCUCAGGACGAACGCUGGCGGCGUGCUUAACACAUGCAAGUCGAACGGUGAUGUCAGAGCUUGCUCUGGCGGAUCAGUGGCGAACGGGUGAGUAACACGUGAGUAACCUGCCCCCGACUCUGGGAUAACUGCUAGAAAUGGUAGCUAAUACCGGAUAUGACGAUUGGCCGCAUGGUCUGGUCGUGGAAAGAAUUUCGGUUGGGGAUGGACUCGCGGCCUAUCAGGUUGUUGGUGAGGUAAUGGCUCACCAAGCCUACGACGGGUAGCCGGCCUGAGAGGGUGACCGGCCACACUGGGACUGAGACACGGCCCAGACUCCUACGGGAGGCAGCAGUGGGGAAUAUUGCACAAUGGGCGAAAGCCUGAUGCAGCAACGCCGCGUGAGGGAUGACGGCCUUCGGGUUGUAAACCUCUUUUAGUAGGGAAGAAGCGAAAGUGACGGUACCUGCAGAAAAAGCACCGGCUAACUACGUGCCAGCAGCCGCGGUAAUACGUAGGGUGCAAGCGUUGUCCGGAAUUAUUGGGCGUAAAGAGCUCGUAGGCGGUUUGUCGCGUCUGCUGUGAAAUCCCGAGGCUCAACCUCGGGUCUGCAGUGGGUACGGGCAGACUAGAGUGCGGUAGGGGAGAUUGGAAUUCCUGGUGUAGCGGUGGAAUGCGCAGAUAUCAGGAGGAACACCGAUGGCGAAGGCAGAUCUCUGGGCCGUAACUGACGCUGAGGAGCGAAAGCAUGGGGAGCGAACAGGAUUAGAUACCCUGGUAGUCCAUGCCGUAAACGUUGGGAACUAGAUGUGGGGACCAUUCCACGGUCUCCGUGUCGCAGCUAACGCAUUAAGUUCCCCGCCUGGGGAGUACGGCCGCAAGGCUAAAACUCAAAGGAAUUGACGGGGGCCCGCACAAGCGGCGGAGCAUGCGGAUUAAUUCGAUGCAACGCGAAGAACCUUACCAAGGCUUGACAUAUAC
rnacentral:rRNA from 2 species